UUUUUUUUUUUUUUUAAUUUCCCUCCACCAGAACACAAACACCCUGAAGGCAAGCACCAUGUCUCUAUUCACCAAGUAAUUCCACGGUCUAAAACAAUGGCUAGACUAUUAGGUAGUCAAUAAAUAAUUGUUAAAUAAAGAAUUAAUAAGGUUAAAGACAAGGUUCAACAUAUUUGAAAUUCCAAGAAAUUCAGGAUAAAGUAUUGUUUCAGAUAAGGUCUAGAACAAGGCUUAGCAAACUUCAUUCUAUAAAGGACUAAAUAAUAAAUAUUUUUUAGCUGUCUAGGCCAUAUAGUCUCUGUCACAACUAUUACAUUCUGCUAUUACAUCAUGAAAGCAGCUAUGGGUAAUAUACAAUGAUUAGGAGUAUCUAGAGUUCAAUCACAGUCAUAGUUUGUAGAUCCCUGUUCUAAAUGAAUAGAUUCUUUGUACAAACCAAGAUUCUGGGCUCACAGUGUUACUUGUUGGUGCUCAAGAAAUUAUAUAUGCAUGUAUAAUGCACCUAUCCAUUCAUAGUAUCACUAUUUACAAUAGCCAAGACAUGGAAAUAACCUAAAUGUCCAUUGAGAGAUGAAUGGAUAAAGCAGCUAUGGUAUAUAUAUCAUACAAUGGACUAUUACUCAGCCAUACAAAAGAAUAAAAUAAUGCCAUCUGCAACAGCACGGAUAGAACUAGAGAUUUUCACACUAAGUGAAGUAAGUCAGAAAGAGAAAGACAAAUACCAUAUGAUAUCACUUAUAUAUAGAAUCUAAAAUAGCACACAAGUGAACAUAUCUAUAAAAUAGAAACAGAGUCAUAGACAUACAGAACAGACUUGUGGUUGCCAAGAAGGAAUGGGAUGGGGGAAGGAUGGAGUGGGAGGGUGGAGUCAGCAGAGGCAAACUAUUAUAUUUAGGAUGGGUAAACAACAAGGUCCUACUAUAUAGCACAGGGAACUAUAUUCAAUAUCCUGUGAUAAACCAUAAUGGGAAAGAAUACAAAAAAGAACAUAUAUAUGUAUAAUUAAGUCACUUUGCUGUAGAGCAGAAAUUAACACAACAUUGUAAAUCAACUAUAUGUCAAUAAUUUUUUAAAAAAAGAAAUGAUACAGGCACAUAUAUAUUCACAUCUCUACUAUCUGCUGAAGACAGCACAUCAGAGAGGUUGAGAGUAUGGACCCUAGAGCCGAAUGGCUCUGUUCAAGUCCUGGUCUUCGUAUAUGCAUUUUUGUGACCAUGGAUAGGUCACAACUCUCUCUGCACUUCCAUUUCCUCAUCCUUAAAAUAGGUAUAAAAACACUGCAUAGAGAACAGACGUGUGGUUACGAAGGAUGAGGUGGGAGGGAGUGAGAUGGAUGGGAAAUUUGUGGUGAGUAGAUAUAAACUAUCACAUUUAGAAUGGAUAAGCAAUGAGGUCCUGCAGUACAGCACAUGGGAUUAUAUCCAGUCUCUCGAGAUAGACCAUGAGAGAAGAUAAGGAAUAUGUAUUAAUUAUUGCCACAACAUUAUAAAUCAACUAUACUUCAAUAAAAGCAAAUAAAUUUAAAAGUCUAUAUUGUAUGUGGAAUGGAUAAGCAAUGGGAUCCUGCAGUAUAGCACUGGGAACUAUGCCUGGUCACUUGUGAUGGAGCAUGAUAAUGUGAGAAAAAAGAAUGUAUACAUGUAUGUGUGACUGGGUCACGUCGCUGUGCAGUAGAAAAUUGACAGAACACCAUAAAUCAGCUAUAGUGGAAAAAAUUAAAAUCAUUUUAAAAAAUAAAUAAAAGUCUAUAGAAAACAAACACUAUCAUAGGGGUAAAUGAGGUGAUCUUUUUGAAACAUUUAGAACAGAGCUUGGCACAUAAAUGCUGGAUGUAUGUUUUGAAUAAAUAUGGAAUAGGUUCUUGGAAUAGGUUCUUGUUAGCACUUUGAUACCCUGUCACAUUUCCUUCUCAGACAAGCUCAAUCAGGUAGGUUUCAGUAUUAUCCCCAUUUUAAAGGUACAGAAAUUGGAAUUAAGACAUGCUAGGUUAAGAUUCCAUGGUCACAGCAUUGGGGCCAGAUAAAUAUAUUCAGAAAUUAAAAUUUCUGCAUAGUUCCCACUGUGGCUCAGCAGUAAUCAACCCAACUAGUAUCCAUGAGGAUGAGGGGUUUGGCCCCUGGCCUCACUCAGUGGGUUAAAGAUCUGGAGUUGCCUUGAGAUGUGGUGAAGGUCACAGACACGGCUCGGAUUUGGUGUUGCUAUGACGCAGGCUGGCAGCUGCAGUUCCGAUUUGACCCCUAUCCUGGGAACUUCCAUAUGCUGCAGGUGUGGGCCUGAAAAGCAAGAAAGCAAGAAAGAGAGGGAGGGAGCGGCGAAGAAAAAAAGAUUAAAAUCUCUGAAAAGGAAGUAUAAUGCAUUUUUCCUCCCUAACAUCAAUUCAAACUAAAGAUCACCAAUAUAGAUUGGCUUCUGCAGAGCUUUUAAAACACGGCUGUAAACACUCUGAUACAGUUCUCAUCAAGAGGAAUCCCUCCUCUUGAAUCUAGAUGGAUUUGAGGCUACUUCAACCAACAGAGUAUGGUGAAAGAUAUACUACACAACCCCCAAUGGGCAACUCAACUUUUGCCUUGUUCACUGGAACACAAUCUCUUAGAACCCUGAACCACUGUGUAAAAUGCCCAAUUACCCUGAAAUUGCAAGGUUAGAAGGAAGCCCAAGCCACAUGGCGGCCACGCAUAAGUGCUUAAGCCAAUAGUCCCGUCUGAGCCCACCCUUGGAGUCAUCCCUGUCCAUAGGCCAGCCAUGUUAGUUGAGAGUCUUCAGUUCCCAUCCCUGGAGUAACCCGCAAACAUCUAACUCUUCCUGGCUGGGGCCACACACAUCAUGGAGGGGACAAACCAUCCUCACUAUGGUCUGAGUUCUUAAACCACAGAAUACAUGAACAUAACUUGUAUUUUCUGUGACUACAUUUCAGGGUGCUUUGUUAGCACAUAGACAAAUAAAACACCUUCUUUCCAGGUUGUCCUAAACUAGAAUUAUAGUUCAUUUUGUCAAGGCUGAGCUUCAUUCUCAAUGGCCUUGCUUUGCUGCUAUCCUGAAAGUUUUUUUAGUCAUACAGUAUUAGAAGGAGCUGGGAUUUGAACCCGGGAAGUCCUCCUCUGGAGCAGGGAUGCCGACCCCCCACACUCUACACAAACAAAUCAUUUUAUUUCUCUGGGUCAGUUUCACCCUCUAAAAUGGUGAGCAAAUCUUGCUUUGCAGGAUGACUAUAAGAAUCAGAUGAUACCAUGGGCAUAAAACUGCUUUAAAGGAAUUUAGGAGUUCCCGUCAUGGCGCAGUGGUUAACGAAUCCGACUAGGAACCAUGAGGUUGCGGGUUCGGUCCCUGCCCUUGCUCAAUGGGUUAACGAUCUGGCGUUGCUGUGAGCUGUGGUGUAGGUUGCAGACGCAGCUCGGAUCCCGCAUUGCUGUGGCUCUGGUGUAGGCCGGUGGCUACAGCUCUGAUUCAACCCCUAGCCUGGGAACCUCCAUAUGCCGCGGGAGCGGCCCAAGAAAUAGAAAAAAGACAAAAAAAUAAAUAAAUAAAUAAAGGAAUUUAGACUCCAAAUCUAUAGCAAGAACCUGAAGCAGAGGGUAGUUUUAAUCUUCUUAGAGUUCCAGUCUUACUGAGAAGCCUAUUUGCCCAAACAAAUCGAUGAUGCUAAUGCCACUGCCAUCAGAAGAGCAAGCAAGCUUCUCAUCAUACACUGGGGGCUCCUAAAGGGUCUGUGUGUGCACGUGUGUGUAAUUUAAUAGCAGGACAUCCUGGUGAUUUUGAAACAACUCAAGUGUCUGACAUGAAAGCAAGUGACAGUACUUUGGAACCAGGGCCAUGAAAUGCAAGUACAUUGCAAAUCACUCGGUCGUGCUGUCGGGGGAAUCGCAGUCACCAUAUAUAUUUUCUUAAAUGUAGUUUCCCAGCAAACCUUUCAUAAAAUUCAUGACUGUGUCUGACCUCUGCUACAUGCUUGCCUCCACAGCUCCCCUUUUCCCCUCAAACGUAACCCAGGCUUGUGAUGCACUUGCGGCAAACACCGCUGAUUGGCUGAAGAGCCAUUCCCAGUACACUUCUCCCUAUCUGCCUCCUUUUAGAGAGUCCUGGAAACCAACACUGGCUAUCCAAGGCUCUCAUACAGUCAGAGGUAUCCAGUGCCCACGAGGAAUAAGCAGAAGUCUUUUGGGAAAGGUCUUUUAUAAAAUAUUUUCUCUUUUCUGAUAAGAGGACACAUGAAUGAGCACAAUCUUUCCCACUUAACUCUUUCUUCUGCAUUGAAUGCAUAACGAAUGCAGCUGUAGCUGCCACUUAACAAUACCAAAAGUGGUAUCUGCUCUGGUAUCUUUGAAUCCACCACCUUUCUCUGUAAAAAACCUUGGUCCAAUUUGUGCAAGCCAUGGAGUUUUAUUUACUUUUACUUGCAGAUGCAGAAAGUUCUACCAUAAAAUUUGUGCCAUGGGCAACUGAAUCCUUGUCCUAUGUAAGCAGGUCACUUUUACUUCCCUGCCCCUUAUGAGGAUGGUACAAACAAGAACCCUUGAGUGUAAAGUCACACUAAGAGGCCACAAAUUUCUCUGCCUCUACUGGUGCAUGAUUUCAUUGACAGUCCCUCCCAUACAGCUUUGCCACUCUGCUUAGACCACUGCCACAGCCUAAUUUUCUUCUGGUCCUCAUUGUGGUGCCCUCCCAUCUUCCAUGCUGAAGCCACAAAACAAAUGUCCAUCCAUACAUCCCUGCUGAAGGCAGCAUGUCAGUGCCUCCUCAUGAAAGCCUCAACUUCACUCUGCUGAGAGGGCUUUCCUUGACUUGGCGUUUGUGUCCUUCUCCAGCUUCUCCUUCAACCAGAUUUUUUGAACAACCCCUUCUCUCUGAUCGUCUCAGCUUUUCCAACUCUCAGCUUCAGCCACAAUGAACUUAACAAUCCCCUCUGACUAUUCUAAUCCCUCUGCGUAAGUAACUCACCCUCACCCAAGAUGUCUCUGAUGUAGGUGCUCAUACACACACACACACACAUUUCCACUUGGACCCCCACAGCACUUCACACCAAUACUGCGGGAAGCAAACGCAGAAUACAAGCAAAUGUCUUUGCCAAGAGAUGAUAAGCCAUCUAAGGGCAAGGCCUGAGUCUACCUUGUUCACUGCUGUGAAGCCAGUGAAGGUAUUCUGAUCACCUCCUGUGCACCCCAUUGGUGCAGGGAUAUUCUUUCACCCUAAAUAGUAAAAAGUGGCUGAAUGCACCAGACUGGUUACUAACCAUAAAUACUCACAGCGUGGGAGAGGAGGACCCUGCAAACUAGGCAGGAGUGCGCAAGGAUUGCUCUUGGGAGGAGAACCAACCAGCAGGGACUGUGAGAGUCAAUCUUUGUGAUGAGGAGAGGAAGAUAACCCUUCCUUCACGUGGAGGGAUGUCAUUGGCUGACUUGAAUGAUUUCAAGAUUUGACAGGGAGAUGAAGCCCA
ensembl:lncRNA